rnacentral:rRNA from 1 species
UUUAUCUAAAUCUCCUCCCAACGGAUCUCUUGGCUCUCGCGACGAUGAAGAACGCAGCGAUCCGCGAUACGUCCUGGAAGCCGCCGUGAACCAUCAAUUUUCGAACGCACAUUGCAUACAGGGAGGGUGGGGUGAGUCAAUUCUCACACUCGUGGUCUAGUUUACAAAGGAUGACUAAUAACUUCGUCAGCCCUUACCGUUUUCUCCCCCGCCCCCUCAGAUUACCCGCUGAACUUAAGCAUAUCAAUAAGCGGAGGAAAAGAAACCAACAGGGAUUGCCUCAGUAACGGCGAGUGAAGCGGCAAAAGUCCACCUUUGAAGUAUUGACGUGGUUGGGAGAGGUUAUUGCACAAGUCGCCUGGAACGGCCGCCAAAGAGGGUGAUAGCCCCGUAGCAUACAACCAAUCUUCCCAGCCGACAGAGUCGAGUUGUUUGGGAAUGCAGCUCUAAAGGUGGUAGGGUCCAUCAAAGACUAAAUAUCAGCGAGAGACCGAUAGCAAACAAGUACAGUGAUGGAAAGAUGAAAAGAACUUUGAAAAGAGAGUGAAACAGUGCGUGAAAUUGGGGGGAGGGAAGGCAAGGCCACGACAGUGGUCCUGCGCCCGUCUUGAAACACGGACCAAGGAGUCUAACCGGGGUGCGAGUGUGCGGACUUAACAUCCAAGCGCGGAGAGAAAGCGACACUCACCUUUGGUGGUGAGUGAGUCACCACCCCUGUUGGGACCCCAAAGAUGGUGAACUA